GAUGAACGCUGGCGGCGUGCUUAACACAUGCAAGUCGAACGGAAAGGCCCAAGCUUGCUUGGGUACUCGAGUGGCGAACGGGUGAGUAACACGUGGGUGAUCUGCCCUGCACUUCGGGAUAAGCCUGGGAAACUGGGUCUAAUACCGGAUAGGACCACUUCUUGGAUGUUGUGGUCGAAAGUUUUUUCGGUGUGGGAUGAGCUCGCGGCCUAUCAGCUUGUUGGUGGGGUAAUGGCCUACCAAGGCGUCGACGGGUAGCCGGCCUGAGAGGGUGUACGGCCACAUUGGGACUGAGAUACGGCCCAGACUCCUACGGGAGGCAGCAGUGGGGAAUAUUGCACAAUGGGCGCAAGCCUGAUGCAGCGACGCCGCGUGGGGGAUGACGGCCUUCGGGUUGUAAACUCCUUUCGCUAGGGACGAAGCGUUUUGUGACGGUACCUGGAGAAGAAGCACCGGCUAACUACGUG
rnacentral:rRNA from 1 species